rnacentral:rRNA from 1 species
UACAGAGGGUGCAAGCGUUAAUCGGAAUUACUGGGCGUAAAGCGCGCGUAGGUGGUUCGUUAAGUUGGAUGUGAAAUCCCCGGGCUCAACCUGGGAACUGCAUUCAAAACUGUCGAGCUAGAGUAUGGUAGAGGGUGGUGGAAUUUCCUGUGUAGCGGUGAAAUGCGUAGAUAUAGGAAGGAACACCAGUGGCGAAGGCGACCACCUGGACUGAUACUGACACUGAGGUGCGAAAGCGUGGGGAG